CAGCCGCCGCGGUAAUACCGGCGGCCCGAGUGGCGGUCACUUUUUUUGGGCUUAAAGCGUCCGUAGCCGGGUUGGGAAGUCCUCCGGGAAAUCUGGCCGCUUUACGGUCAGAAUGCCGGAGGAUACUCCCAGCCUAGGGAGCGGGGGAGGCCGAGGGUAUUCCCGGAGUAGGGGGGAAAUCCUAUAAUACCGGGAGGACCACCUGUGGCGAAGGCGCUCGGCUGGAACGCGUCCGACGGUGAGGGACGAAGGCCAGGGGAGCAAACCGGAUUAGAUACCCGGGUAGUCCUGGCUGUAAACGAUGCGGACUUUGUGUCGGACAAGCUAUGAGCUUGUCCGGUGCCGGAGGGAAACCGUUAAGUCCGCCGCCUGGGGAGUACGGCCGCAAGGCUGAAACUUAAAGGAAUUGGCGGG
rnacentral:rRNA from 1 species